GACGAACGCUGGCGGCGUGCCUAACACAUGCAAGCCGAACGGAAAGGCCCUUUUUUUGACGGGUGCUCGAGUCGCGAACGGGUGAGUCACAUGCGACCUACCUGCAUUUGACUUUGGGAUAACUUCAGGAAACUGUGAUAAACCCUAAAAUGGUGCUCCUCCUCCAUUAUUGUGGAAGACUCGGUUCGGCGGAUGGGGAUGCACUCGCGGCUAAUCAGUUUGUUGGUGAAGUACUGGCUUACCAAGGCUUCUGUGGGUAUCCGGCCUGAGAGGGUGACCGGGCACAUUGGGACUGUGAUACGGCCCGGAGUAGUGCGGGAGACAGCAGUGUGGGAUAGUGCACGAUGGACGGAAGCCUGAUGCAGCAUCGCCGUGUGCGGGAUGACAGCCUUCGUGUGGUAAACCGCAUUCGCCUGUUAGGGAGCGUGAGUGACGGUAAUGGAUGAAUAAGCACCGGCUAACUACGUG
rnacentral:rRNA from 1 species